CUACGGGGGGCUCCAGUGAGGAAUAUUGCACAAUGGAGGAAACUCUGAUGCAGCAACGCCGCGUGGAGGAUGACGCAUUUCGGUGUGUAAACUCCUUUUAUAUGUCAAGAAAAUGACGGUAGCAUAUGAAUAAGCACCGGCUAACUCCGUGCCAGCAGCCGCGGUAAUAGGAGGGUGCAAGCGUUACUCGGAAUCACUGGGCGUAAAGGACGCGUAGGCGGGAUAUCAAGUCAGGUGUGAAAUCCUACAGCUUAACUGUAGAACUGCACUUGAAACUGGUAACCUAGAGUAUGGGAGGGGGAGAUGGAAUUAGUGGUGUAGGGGUAAAAUCCGUAGAUAUCACUAGGAAUACCUAAAGCGAAGGCGAUCUCCUGGAACAUAACUGACGCUAAGGCGUGAAAGCGUGGGGAGCAAACAGGAUUAGAUACCCCUGUAGUC
rnacentral:rRNA from 1 species